AAUAAACGCAGAGAUGAGUUUCCGUGUCCAACUUUGAUUUUCCGUCUUAUUUAAAAAAUUUUUAUAAUUAAUAUUUUAUUGUUAUUAUAUUAUCAAAACAUGAAUAAUAUUUUAUAUGUGACUUAUUUUUUUUAAAAAAAAAAGACGAAUGAUUAAAGUUGAACACGAAAACUCAUGGUUAUGUUUAUU
rfam:Oryza barthii chromosome 3, whole genome shotgun sequence.